CUCAUCCUCACCAUCUCAAUUUCCCACUCUCCCAGUAUCACCCUCAUUUUAGUGAUUUUAUUUGAUUUUUAAUUGUUUUAUUAUUUUUAAAUGAUUUAAAUAUAUUUUAGAAUUCACAAAAUAAAAAAAUAAAUGUUUAAUUAAAAAUUUAAUUAAUUAAAAACAAAAAAACAAAAAUUGGAAAUAAAAUAUUAAAAAAAUAAUUAAAAUAUUAUUAAUUAACUUUAAAUAAACCCAAAUUUUAAUUUAAUUAAUAAAAAAAACUCAAAUUUCACCCAAUCUCACCCUGACCAUUGUUAGGAUUAAUGCCCUAAAAGCAUGUAAAUACAUUUUAUUGGUUUUAAAUAAAAGUACAAUUUUAUUAUAGGAAAAAUACCAAUUUGACUCCUGUGUUUUGCCCGAUUGGCCUAUAUGUUUUAUUAAAUGACAAAACGGACCCUGUGUUUUGCAAAAACAAAUCAAUUAAUACCUUGAGCCCGAUUUUGGUCAAACUAUUUUCAAAUAUGACCAAAAUGCCCCCAUAUUUUUGAAUUAAUGAAUUUAUUAGAUAAUUAAAAAUAGAUUUUAAAAUAAAAAUGAAAAAAAAAACAUUUAUUUAAUUUUCUUUUUCUCUUUCUCUCUCUCUCUCUUCUCUUCCCUCUCCCGAUUUUCCUCACCCUUACCUUGAAAAAUAUGCCUCUCUCCAUCUAUCUCAUCUUCACCUCCACUCAUUCUCUCUAUUUUCUUCUCAAAUCUUAGGCUUGAACGAGGUUGGAAUGGCAGUGGCUUGGCAACAACUUAGCCGUCGAGAGGACAGAGGAAGCUCGGCAACAGCUUGCUUCGUCCCUCAUACCGUCGAGAUCUGUGUUCGUGGAUUUGCGUCCCUCACACCAUCAAGCGAAGAGUUCCAACUUGAAACCCAUGAGCCCAUUUCAAAGACAGCCUCUGUCCAUCACCUUUUCAAAUCUUGUUCAUGAGUUUGCAAAAUAAUUUCAUUUAUCCCGAAAAGAAUGUAUUGGGGUGAUCGAGAACUGGGUUUCUGAGUACCGGGACAAUGGUUUUGUGAGAACCAAUGGCGAUUCCGUAGUUUCGUUAAUGAGGAUGAGAAGUUACGCAAGGAGUAGAUUCAGUGGUGAAGUGGUAAGAGUGACUGGGAGCACGGGAAAGACUACUACAAAGGCUAUGAUAGCUUUGGCUCUUGGAGGUGUUAGGGUUUUAUGCCCUAAUUAAAACUCAAUUUCUUUGUAAUCUCAUUUAUUUUCAAUAAAAGAAUAGAAAUUAUUUUUU